CCUCCUUGCAAUUGGUUAGAAUUGUAUAAUGAGUUCUGGGUCUGAGAAGUGACCUGUGUCAGUUCCAGAUCAAAGCAGUUUCAGAAAAGGACAUUAUUGAACACAUUGAUGGAAUUCUGGUAAGACCUGUAGUUUAGUUAGUAAUAUUGUACCAAAGUAAUUUUUAUUUUAAGUUUAAAACAAGGUAUGCUUAAUAAUGUUAGAGUUAGUAAUGGUAGUUAUUAGUAUUGGGAGUAUUGGCAGCAGCAAAAGAGUAUCUCCUAAGAUCCAGACACUGCAAAGUACAACAUGGAAAUUAUAUUUUUAAAUUCUAACGUACAUCAACCCUAUGAGAGCUUAAGGGAAAGCUAUUCUUCACCAGUUCUUCACCAUUGAGUAUGAUGUUCACUGAGUUUUUCACAGACAGCCGUUAUUGUUGAGAUUACCUAUCUAGUUAAUACUGGCUGUGAUUGAGUUCUAACUUAGGGAAAUGAUUGCCAUAAGAAAGAACCGACGAAGGGUGCUGUUUUAGAAAAAAUCAAGAUUCAGGAUGAGUACAUGGAGGUGGAGCUCAACUCAUCGUGUUGGAAAUCUGGGACAACCACUUCAUGUGAUUAUCACAUAGUUGAAUGAGGCCACAGUCAUAGGAUCAACCUCCAUAUAAAGGUAGGAAACCCAAUAAACCAGAUUGAAUAAGCAGAAGGCAGUGGGGAAGAAGAUCCGUGCAUAUGAGUCCAUUUUGGCGAUACGA